GACGAACGCUGGCGGCGUGCUUAACACAUGCAAGUCGAACGGUGAAGCACCUUCCUUUUUGGUGGGUGUGGAUGAGUGGCGAACGGGUGAGUAACACGUGAGUAACCUGCCCCCUUCUUCUGGAUAACCGCAUGAAAGUGUGGCUAAUACGGGAUAUUCUGGGUCUGUCGCAUGAUGGGUCUGGGAAAGAUAUUGUUUCGGUGGGGGAUGGGCUCGCGGCCUAUCAGCUUGUUGGUGGGGUGAUGGCCUACCAAGGCGGUGACGGGUAGCCGGCCUGAGAGGGUGGACGGUCACACUGGGACUGAGACACGGCCCAGACUCCUACGGGAGGCAGCAGUGGGGAAUAUUGCACAAUGGGCGCAAGCCUGAUGCAGCGACGCCGCGUGAGGGAUGGAGGCCUUCGGGUUGUGAACCUCUUUCGCCAGUGAAGCAGGCCUGCCUCGUUUGUGGGUGGGUUGACGGUAGCUGGAUAAGAAGCGCCGGCUAACUACGUG
rnacentral:rRNA from 1 species